UUUAUAUUAGCUGAUCAUAACUUUAUUACAUAUUUUACAGAGGAAUUCAACACUUUUAUGUCCAUCAAAUCGGUCUCAACUGAAGAUUCAUCCUUAUUAUGGGAAACAACCAAAGCAUUUUCUAGAGGCAUUAUAAUAGAGUACACACAUAGUAAAAGGCGUAAACAAGCGGAACAAAAACAGAUUUUAGAGUCUAAGCUUAGGGAUGCUGAGAGAACAUACAUUAAUAAACCAAGCCCUGUUAAACUAAAGGAAAUUAUGGCGCUAAGGUCUGCGUUAGACUCUCUUAUAACAAAACAGGCAGAAGUGAAAAUUCACUUUGCUAAGCAGAAAAUGUAUGAACAUGGGGAUAAAGCUAGGAAAUAUUUAGCACACCUAACAAAGAAAAAAUCUUACUCUCAAUCUAUACAAUCGAUUAUAGACAGUAACGGUAAACACUCUAUGGACAGCAUAUUCAUUAAUAAUACAUUUAAAGAUUCUUUUGAGAAGUUCUACAAAUCAGAACUAAAAGGGGACACAACACAAACCCAGGGCUUUUCUUCUCGACACUUAAUCUCCCCACGUUAUCCGAAGAUCAGUCAUUACCCCUUAAUGCCCCUAUAUCUAAAAAUGAGGUUCUAGCAGCAAUAAAGAGUUUACAAUCUGGGAAAGCACCUGGUCCAGAUGGACUUAGUUGUGAAUUCUAUAAGGAAUUCAAAGACUUAUUAGUGGAUCCAUUAUUAAAUAUGUUUAAUGACUCUUUUAGAAAAGGCCGCCUACCACAGUCACUGAGAGAGGCAAAUAUAUCAUUAAUUUUGAAAAAAGGAAAACAACCAGAGUACUGUUCGUCAUAUCGCCCCAUAUCACUGCUAAAU
ensembl:processed_transcript